UCGGAUAUGGUGUAACGGCUAACAUUACCGCCUUUCACAAGCUGGGUUCGUUCCUGGUAAACGUGCGCGGUAGCUCGGGGUUCGAUUCCCCGUAUCCGAG